UCAAACUUGGUCAUUUAGAGGAAGUAAAAGUCGUAACAAGGUCUCCGUAGGUGAACCUGCGGAGGGAUCAUUACCGAGCUCGCGCCCCCUGGGCCGACCUCCCGCCCUCUGUCAUCGCUACGCCUGUUGCCUCGGCGGGCGCCGGGGCCCGCCCGCGCGCGCCCGCCAGAGGCCCCCAGACCCUGGAUGCCAGCGUCGUCCGAGUGUCAUGCAAUCGUUAAAACUUUCAACAACGGAUCUCUUGGUUCUGGCAUCGAUGAAGAACGCAGC
rnacentral:misc_RNA from 1 species